UCACAGCUUUAUGAAUCUGUUUGUUCGAUAGUGAAUUGUAUGGAAACUAUUGGCCGUAGGCAGCCAUAAGCCGUUACCUAAAAUAGGUAACCAGUAUUCUCGUAAGGCCAGUUGUCCCCACGUAUUCUUACUAGAGUACCAUCAUACACCGAAUGUACACUCCACCCAUUUUAUAUGGGCGUCUCACGGCCAAAUUAAGACCUAGGAUAUUUUGCCAGGGACCUUCUUCUGUUGGAGAGAUUGGCAGUUUCAGCCAUAGAAAAACUUUUUGUGGGCUAAACACUAAGACGCUGCCUGUGCCUUUUGUUUGACGCAAGUGGAGGUAAACCUCGAUAAGUGUGACCGAUUCAAUGGUGAUAUAGAUAAUUCGACGAUUGUGUAUGAGGAAAACAAGAAAGUGUCUGCUCGAAAAAGGUUAAAUGAGCCCGUUAUUUGCCCGAAAUUAACCCAAACCAACCACUACAGGUGCAGUGAUUUCAGCGGUUUUGCUAUGUAAUGCGUGAACGUCGGUGCAUUUGUUUUCCUUUACUAGAGCGGAGAUUAAUAAGCGAAGAUAGUGGUUACGACAGCUCACGUGCACACGUAUAGCAGACGGUAAAUUUGUUUUGUUGUGUGCUUCAGUACUUCAAUACCGGCCGGUUUAUAAAUCGUGGCUGCAGGCGUUGUUUGAGCGUCUCUGAUCUAGGACAGACGGGGACUUCGGCUCGUUCACGAAUAUUACAAGGAAACAGAGCAUUUUGAAAUAAGACCCAGAAAGUUCAUGCAGCCUCCAUCGGUCAUUGGUCAGUCACGCAUACUGGACGGUGAAACGGAAGUAGGGAGCCACAGCAACCGACUGCCGUAGAGGGCUUGUUUGUCCGCUUGCCUGCCGCCUUAUUUACUGAACAAUGGAUGAAGUCGUGACAAGCAAUUCUGCCCCAACAAUUAAUGGUCCGGGGCGCCGGCGACGAACGCUAGCAGUCCGUGGCGACUAUCUACGAAUAACCAAAGAGGAGCUUCGAAAAGAACUCCGUCUUAGAGGACUACGGACUAGCAGUAAACGCAUAGAAAUGAUCCGAAAACUUGAAAAGUGGGAACAGGAACGUCGGGAGCAGGAACGACGAGAGCAGGAGGACGGUAACCCUGCUGUUCAGGGGUUGAAGAUUGCAGUAUCACCGUCACUACUGGCCUCAUUGAAUUCAGCCACGGGCGGUGGGACAGGCCUUACGUCCAGCGGUACGAGAGAGGCUGCGGGUGGUAGUGGUGACGUAGGUCUUCUUCCAUUUGAUCUCGGUGGCAGCUCGGAAAGCUUGCUGCUUGGCCAGAUGGUCGGACUCCACCAAGGGGACGGCCGGAAGCUGGCACGUAGACAGAACAACAAAGUCCUUGGAGGUGAAAGUGGCAGUAAUGGAGACGGUGAUGGAGUCAGCGUAAGUGACGGGAACGCGGGCUCUAGAAGCUCUGUUGAGUUACAUAUUGAACGGCAAAGCCUAGUCCUUUGGCGUAGGCCAUUUACUACUCUACACUAUUUCUCACGGGAAAUCUUCGAUCUCGUGAAGCAGUUGUUUGAAAGCAUGUAUCGACAUAAAGUGCGUGUUUGUAUAGUGUUCUUGUUGGCUGCGUGCAUGGCAGUUUUAUACUACGCGGACGGUUCUCAUCAUGGAUACUUGGAACCAUGGAAGAAACAGGCAAUAUGGUGUAUCUACUGGAUAGGUCUAGGAGUUCUUUCCUCUGUGGGUCUUGGAACAGGUUUGCACACAUUCGUUCUCUAUCUUGGCCCACAUAUCGCAGCCGUAACGUUAGCAGCUCAUGAAUGCCAAAGUCUUGACUUUCCUGAGCCACCAUACCCAGAUGAAAUCAAAUGUCCAGAACAACUCGGGCCAGCUGUGCCUGGCAUCUGGGCCAUCAUGUCGAAGGUGCGAGUUGAGGCAUUUAUGUGGGGAGCGGGAACAGCUCUGGGCGAGCUACCCCCCUAUUUCAUGGCUCGGGCUGCUGCCUUGAGUGGUGCUCAAGACGCAGAAGAUCUCGAAGCGGUUGAAGAGAUCCGGGCGUUGGAAGCAGCUGACAGAACCCAGCUCUCAUGGGGAAACCGAUUAAAGUUAUUAGUUGACGACCUUAUUGGGAAGGUGGGAUUUUUUGGCAUCUUGGCAUGUGCGUCCAUUCCAAAUCCACUGUUUGAUGUAGCAGGUAUUGUGUGUGGCCAUUGGGGUGUUCCGUUCACCACGUUCUUUGGAGCGACUCUUAUCGGAAAAGCAAUUUUCAAGAUGCACGUGCAAAAGCUAUUCGUUAUCCUUGCUUGCGGAGAAACUCACGUCAAGUUACUUUUAAAUUUCGUCAGGACUAUACCUAUCGUGGGCCCCAGUGUCGUACCCGUAUUUGAGGUGUACCUAGAGAAGCAAAAGAACAAGCUGAAACAAGGGAAGUCUGCAGGAUCGGGCGGAGGCCCUGAGGGAUCUUUGUUGUCUAGCAUUUUUGAGAAAUUUGUCAUGGUUAUGGUGGCGUAUUUUGUCAUAUCAAUUGUCAACUCGAUGGCACAAAGUUUCCAUAAGAGAAUAUCUCGCGUAUCUCGUGUUAGCAAGAAAAAGGCAGAGCCAAAUUCGUGCAACGACAAAAGCCUAUAAAAACAACAUUUUCUUUGUUGAUUACUACAGUCUUUCGCUUGUUGCGCUACUACCUCCAAAGAGAGACCAGAAAGCGAGAAAGGACGGAAGUAAAAAUCUCAAUACCGUUUGAACGCUUUGGCGCCCGCUCAAUGUCGGUACCAAGACAGCUACUUACAACGUUCUUUUAAGGACGUUUCUUUACAGAGUUCAGCAGAGCAUCGCGUUCAACAAGUGAUACGAAUCACCAUCGACGAGAGGUGUUGAUGAGAAUUGGUGUUUAUAGGGAAACUAUGACUAAAACUGACAGACAUAUAUAUAUAUAUAUAUAUAUAUAUAUAUAUAUAUAUUGCAAUAAAGUACACUGCUAGAGAACUAAUUGAAGCAGGCCAUCUAUGGUUUCUACGGCUAAACUUUUUAAAAUCACUCUCCUACUACACGAUAUCAUAUAGGCGCAUGCACGUGUGAAAAAGCUAAAGAUUAGAUAAUAAAUGCAACGGUGUUUAAAUAUUAUACAAAAGAAAAUCAGUAAUAUUUUCUAUAAACGGAAAAAUAAAAUUUACUCAAAAAAGAAUUCGAUAAUUUCCUUUUCUUCCUUUAGAAGUUCAACAGGGUAGAACAUAGACGAAUAGUCGACAAUUAGAUAAUGUGCACAGGCUUACUAUAAUAAGUGAAGGCAAUAAGCAUUCUUGGAAAAUGCAUUUCAUGUCGAAGGCUUACUUGGCAUCAAAUCACUGGACAGCGUAGAAAACAUUAUGCAUCUCAGUGUGAAGGCACGGCACGGCAAGGCAAAGCGUGCGUAAGUUAGGAACUUCAAACCGACAGUCAGUGUCUCAUAUUAUUAUCUGAGAUCAUGUGUCCCAGUGAACCGACUGAACAAUCUAGCUAGCGUCAAGAAUUUUAUUUAAACCUGCUAAGUAUGUAUGCAGAUCUAUAAGUAAGACAGACUCUUGAAAGCUAGAACAUAUAAUCUUCUUUCAAGCCAUAAAACAGUUUGUGUAUUUCAUAAAAUAUCAAGGCACAUCCCCUUUUCCCACAUGACUGAGGCUCAAUUUUACCUUAUCUCAUUUAACGUAUCACCUUAGCCCACUAGAUGGGUUAUCCAUUUAAGUACCAAAUUUUCGUUCUAUAAAUUCUCUUCCUUCCAACUAAAAACACGAGAUAACAACAGACACAUCUAUGUGCUAAUGCGAAAUUAAAAAUCCCAAAUGUUAUAUGGUAAUAGCUUCCAUAAGACCUCACGCUUCCGUUUCUUUGACAUCGCUUUCUCCGCCGCUAGAACACUUUGCUUGUGAAAACUAGGGCCUAAGUGAGUCGUUAAUCUCAGAAACCAGGGCAAGCCUAUAUAUAAGCAAGUGCCAAAUCGGGCAAUAUUUAUAUUUCGUAAUAACUAGGUAAAAGUGGAUUUACUUUAUAAUAUAAGGCACAUCGUACGUAGGGCAAUAAAUGUUUUGCUUUAAUUCAUGAUUUAAUUAAUUGAUAAAAAAUUAUUUAAGAAAUUUCGUGUCAUAGAUCGAAAGCACACAUCACGAUGGUCAAGCAUUUGCCUUAAUUCCGAUUAUGUACUCAACCGACUGACGCAGCCGUGAGGGCAUCGGUACGUAAGUUGUUUCGACAUAGUGUACUGCCGGGAAAGCUCUUGGCGCAGCACGCCCAGUGGAGGCCCACAAGUGCUCACCUAAUAGAACGGGCGCAGGUCCAGAGAACAAGAUUCUGAUCCACAUUUUGUACGCCUUAAGAUAUCAUUUCUCUUUUAUUUUUCGCACCCUUAUUUCCAUAUUUUUCUUAAAUGUUUUAUUAUCGUUAUUGGCAUAAGUUGUACUCUACUUAUUGUUGAAAUUCAUCAUUAUAGAAUUCUACUUGCCAUCUAUUAUAAUCGAUGCAGGUGGCGCGGGAAUUUUCAGCUUUUUGUAUAAAUUGCAUAAAACUUAAAGCAUUCACGAAGUUAGAGAGUGUUUUUGUUUAAUAUCUUUUUACAGGAUCGUGCUUAAGUAAUCAUCAAAGCAGCAUUAAAUAGUUACGAUUCUUAGCGGAGGCUGAUUGUGUACUAUAGCAGGUUCAUGCACUUAAGUAUCAUCAAGCAACGCCAAGCGAGAUCACAAAUAAACUCUUUACAGUAAAUAAAUCUUUAAACAAAUACGUUCUUAACUUAAAUUCAAUUUAAAUACAUUAUACUCCUAGGUUGAGUUUUCUCGCUAUGGUACAUAAAGCUGCAUGGUUUAUUCCAGACAUAAUGGAUUUAGCACGACCAGAUGCAGUUGGCAAGAAUAGUGGGUUCAAGGCGCUCAAAAAGUUUUCCAACCAGCAACCGUAAUCAAACUAACAAUAAAAACUUGGAAAAAACUUGGACUUAAAAAAGUUUGGUCUUUCGAAUUUUGUUGAUGUCGCGACUGGACUCGGUCAAAAUGUGUGUUCGCUGGAGCUGCAAUUUUAUAUUAUUCCUAACAGGACACCGACCUUUUUCGUAACUACGGACAAAUAAUUUACUUUAGCGUAAGAUCUUAGGCUUAUCUAUGUACUAUACCAGUUUUUGCAAACUAGCCCACUAAAGGCCUUCAUUUCAAUCAAAUUAUUAUUCGCGUUUAUGAAGUUUAAUGUUCAUUCUACAUUGUUUCUUCUUUUAAUCUUCGUUUUUUUUUCUGGAGAGCUGGUUUUAUUUCGUAAAUUUAGAGACUACUAUCCAUAGCAAACGUAAGCACUUUUUGCAACUCGCGUAAUAAUCUACAAAGAGGACUUAAAUUAAUGAAAUUUUGUCCCUAUAUAUUACUCUAUAC